rnacentral:rRNA from 1 species
UACAGAGGUCUCAAGCGUUGUUCGGAAUCACUGGGCGUAAAGGGUGCGUAGGCCGCACGGUAAGUCAGGUGUGAAAUCCCCGGGCUCAACCCGGGAACUGCGUCCGAGACUGAAAGGCUUGAAUCCGGGAGAGGGAUGUGGAAUUCCAGGUGUAGCGGUGAAAUGCGUAGAUAUCUGGAGGAACAUCGGUGGCGAAGGCGGCAUCCUGGACCGGUAUUGACGCUGAGGCGCGAAAGCCAGGGGAGCAAACGGG